GACGAACGCUGGCGGCGUGCUUAACACAUGCAAGUCGAACGGAAAGGCCCGGCUUUUGUGGGGUGCUCGAGUGGCGAACGGGUGAGUAACACGUGAGUAACCUGCCCUUGACUUUGGGAUAACUUCAGGAAACUGGGGCUCAUACCGGAUAGGAGCUCUUGCUGCACGGGGGGGGUUGGAAAGAUUCGGCGGUUGGGGAUGGAAUCGCGGGUUAUCCGCUUGAUUGUGGGGUAGUGGUGUACGAAGGCUGUGAAGGGUAGCCGGCCUGAGAGGGUGAACGGGCACAAUGGGACUGAGAGACGCCGCAGAAUGCUACGGGAGGCAGCAGUGGGGAAUAUUGCACAAUGGGGGGAAGUCUGAUGCAGCAACGUCGGGUGCGGGAUGACGGGCUUCGGGUUGUAAACCGCUGUCGCCUUAGACGAAGCGUGAGUGACGGUAAUGGGUAAAGAAGCACCGGCUAACUACGUG
rnacentral:rRNA from 1 species